rnacentral:rRNA from 1 species
UCUAAGCAUUUCACCGCUACACGACGAAUUCCGCCAACGUUGUGCGUACUCAAGGAAACCAGUAUGCGCUGCAAGUCAGACGUUGAGCGUCUACAUUUCACAACACACUUAAUCUCCAGCCUACGCUCCCUUUAAACCCAAUAAAUCCGGAUAACGCCCGGACCUUCCGUAUUACCGCGGCUGCUGGCACGGAAUUAGCCGGUCCUUAUUCGUAUGGUACCUGCAAACAAUCACACGUGACUGACUUUAUCCCCAUACAAAAGCAGUUUACAACCCAUAGGGCCGUCAUCCUGCACGCUACUUGACUGGUUCAGGCUCUCGCCCAUUGACCAAUAUUCCUCACUGCUGCCUCCCGUAGGAGUUUGGACCGUGUCUCAGUUCCAAUGUGGGGGACCUUCCUCUCAGAACCCCUACUGAUCGUAGCCUUGGUGGGCCGUUACCCCGCCAACAAGCUAAUCAGACGCAUCCCCAUCCAUUACCGAUAAAUCUUUACUUCAAAUCUGAUGCCGUCAUCGAAGACUAUGCGGUAUUAGUCUGCCUUUCGGCAGGUUAUCCCACAGUAAUGGGAAGGUUGGAUACGCGUUACUCACCCGUGCGCCGGUCGACGUCCAAAGAGUGCAAGCACUCAAUGCCGUUUCCCCUCGACUUGCAUGUGUUAAGCCUGUAGCUAGCGUUCAUCCUGAGCCAGGAUCAAACUCUU